rnacentral:rRNA from 1 species
GACGAACGCUGGCGGCGUGCUUAACACAUGCAAGUCGAACGGAAAGGCCCUGCUUGCCGGGUACUCGAGUGGCGAACGGGUGAGUAACACGUGGGUGAUCUGCCCUGCACUUCGGGAUAAGCCUGGGAAACUGGGUCUAAUACCGGAUAGGAGCCAUUUUUAGUGUGAUGGUUGGAAAGUUUUUUCGGUGUAGGAUGAGCUCGCGGCCUAUCAGCUUGUUGGUGGGGUAAUGGCCUACCAAGGCGGCGACGGGUAGCCGGCCUGAGAGGGUGGACGGCCACAUUGGGACUGAGAGACGGCCCAGACUCCUACGGGAGGCAGCAGUGGGGAAUAUUGCACAAUGGGCGCAAGCCUGAUGCAGCGACGCCGCGGGGGGGAUGACGGCCUUCGGGUUGUAAACUCCUUUCGCUAGGGACGAAGCUUUUUGUGACGGUACCUAGAGAAGAAGCACCGGCUAACUACGUG